GAUGAACGCUGGCGGCGUGCCUAAUACAUGCAAGUCGAGCGAACAGACGAGGAGCUUGCUCCUCUGACGUUAGCGGCGGACGGGUGAGUAACACGUGGAUAACCUACCUAUAAGACUGGGAUAACUUCGGGAAACCGGAGCUAAUACCGGAUAAUAUAUUGAACCGCAUGGUUCAAUAGUGAAAGACGGUUUUGCUGUCACUUAUAGCUGGAUCCGCGCCGCAUUAGCUAGUUGGUAAGGUAACGGCUUACCAAGGCAACGAUGCGUAGCCGACCUGAGAGGGUGAUAGGCCACCCGGGAACUGAGACACGGACCAGGCUCCUACGGGAGGCAGCAGUAGGGAAUCUUCCGCAAUGGGCGAAAGCCUGACGGAGCAACGCCGCGUGAGUGAUGAAGGUCUUCGGAUCGUAAAACUCUGUUAUUAGGGAAGAACAAAUGUGUAAGUAACUAUGCACGUCUUGACGGUACCUAAUCAGAAAGCCACGGCUAACUACGUG
rnacentral:rRNA from 1 species